UACGUAGGGUGCGAGCGUUAAUCGGAAUUACUGGGCGUAAAGGGUGCGUAGGCGGUUUGGUAAGUCUGUUGUGAAAUCCCCGGGCUCAACCUGGGAAUGGCAAUGGAGACUGGCGAGCUAGAGUGUGGUAGAGGAUGGUGGAAUUCCCGGUGUAGCGGUGAAAUGCGUAGAGAUCGGGAGGAACACCAGUGGCGAAGGCGGCCCUCUGGACCACCACUGACGCUGAAGCACGAAAGCGUGGGGAGCAAACAGG
rnacentral:rRNA from 1 species